rnacentral:rRNA from 1 species
AUACGGAGGGUGCGAGCGUUGUUCGGAAUAACUGGGCGUAAAGGGCGCGCAGGCGGUUGGAUAAGUCAGAUGUGAAAUCCCUGGGCUCAACCCAGGAAGUGCAUUUGAAACUGUCCAUCUUGAGUACGGGAGAGGGAAGCGGAAUUCCGAGUGUAGAGGUGAAAUUCGUAGAUAUUAGGACGAACACCGGUGGCGAAGGCGGCUUCCUGGACCGAUACUGACGCUGAGGCGCGAAAGCGUGGGGAGCAAACAGGAUUAGAAACCCCAGUAGUCC